UACGUAGGGGGCAAGCGUUAUCCGGAAUUACUGGGUGUAAAGGGAGAGUAGGCGGCAUGACAAGCAAGAUGUGAAAGCCCGGGGCUUAACCGCGGGACUGCAUAAUGAACUGUCAGGCUAGAGUACAGGAGAGGUAAGCGGAAUUCCUAGUGUAGCGGUGAAAUGCGUAGAUAUUAGGAAGAACACCGGUGGCGAAGGCGGCUUACUGGACUGAAACUGACGCUGAGGCUCGAAAGCGUGGGGAGCGAACAGGAUUAGAUACCCUGGUAGUCCACGCCGUAAACGAUGAGUGCUAGGUGUUGGGGGGGAACCCUCGGUGCCGGAGCAAACGCAAUAAGCACUCCACCUGGGGAGUACGGCCGCAAGGUUGAA
rnacentral:rRNA from 1 species